rnacentral:rRNA from 1 species
UAGUCUCGCACAGAUGCAUAUCAAUAAGCAGAGGAAAAGAAACUAACAAGGAUUCCCUCAGUAACGGCGAGUGAAGCGGGAAGAGCUCAAAUUUGAAAUCUUGAAAGGUCACCUUUCACGAAUUGUAGUUUAAAGAAGUGUUUUCUGUUACGAUCGUAAUAUAAGUUCUUUGGAAUAGGACAUCACAGAGGGUGAGAAUCCCGUCUAUGAUUGCGAUUUGUAGCUUUGUGAUACACUUUCAAAGAGUCGGGUUGUUUGGGAAUGCAGCCCAAAACGGGAGGUAAAUUUCUUCUAAGGCUAAAUAUUGGCGAGAGACCGAUAGCGAACAAGUACCGUGAGGGAAAGAUGAAAAGAACUUUGAAAAGAGAGUUAAAUAGUACGUGAAAUUGUCAAAAGGGAAGCGUUUAACACCAGUGUUGUUUUCUGAAAAUCAACCUCUGUUAGCUUUAUGCAUGUUUGUUUAGACCUAAUCAGCUAUCUUUCAUGUUCUAUUGUUUGCAGUGGUGCACUUUUCAGUUUACAGGUCAACAUCAGUUUUUUUUACCGUAAAAAAGUUAAAGAAAGGUAGCUCAUGGCUCCGGUCGUGAGUGUUAUAGUCUUUUUCCUAUGCGGUAGGAGAGACUGAGGUCUGCAGUGUAGGCUAUUUGGCUAGAUACUCAGGUGCUAUGUGAUACCAUUUCAUAAACAACUUGUUGAUUAUGUUUUGUCUAUUGCAUACUCGCUUGUACUAUCAUACCUACGCUUAGGAUGUUGAGUCGUAGAGCACGCAG